rnacentral:tRNA from 1 species
GAGCCAUUAGCUCAGUUAGUAGAGCAUCUGACUUUUAAUCAGAGGGUCAGAGGUUCGAAUCCACUAUGGCUCACCA